UGAACCCCGGUAUCUAGAG
rnacentral:misc_RNA from 1 species